GACGAACGCUGGCGGCGUGCUUAACACAUGCAAGUCGAACGGAAAGGCCCUGCUUUUGUGGGGUGCUCGAGUGGCGAACGGGUGAGUAACACGUGAGUAACCUGCCCUUGACUUUGGGAUAACUUCAGGAAACUGGGGCUAAUACCGGAUAGGAGCUCCUGCUGCAUGGUGGGGGUUGGAAAGUUUCGGCGGUUGGGGAUGGACUCGCGGCUUAUCAGCUUGUUGGUGGGGUAGUGGCUUACCAAGGCUUUGACGGGUAGCCGGCCUGAGAGGGUAACCGGCCACAUUGGGACUGAGAUACGGCCCAGACUCCUACGGGAGGCAGCAGUGGGGAAUAUUGCACAAUGGGCGGAAGCCUGAUGCAGCAACGCCGCGUGCGGGAUGACGGCCUUCGGGUUGUAAACCGCUUUCGCCUGUGACGAAGCGUGAGUGACGGUAAUGGGUAAAGAAGCACCGGCUAACUUCGUG
rnacentral:rRNA from 1 species